GCCGGGGUGGUGGAAUUGGCAGACGCGCUAGGUUCAGGACCUAGUGGGCAUUAGCCCGUGCGGGUUCAAGUCCCGCCUCCGGCA
rnacentral:tRNA from 1 species